AGUGAACGCUGGCGGUAGGCCUAACACAUGCAAGUCGAACGGCAGCACAGUAAGAGCUUGCUCUUACGGGUGGCGAGUGGCGGACGGGUGAGGAAUACAUCGGAAUCUACUUUUUCGUGGGGGAUAACGUAGGGAAACUUACGCUAAUACCGCAUACGACCUACGGGUGGAAGCAGGGGAUCUUCGGACCUUGCGCGAUUGAAUGAGCCGAUGUCGGAUUAGCUAGUUGGCGAGGUAAAGGCCCACCAAGGCGACGAUCCGUAGCUGGUCUGAGAGGAUGAUCAGCCACACUGGAACUGAGACACGGUCCAGACUCCUACGGGAGGCAGCAGUGGGGAAUAUUGGACAAUGGGCGCAAGCCUGACCCAGCCAUACCGCGUGAGUGAAGAAGGUCUUCGGGUUGUAAAGCCCUUUUGUUAGGAAAGAAAAGCAGUAUAUUAAUACAUCGCUGUUCUGACGGUACCCAAAGAAUAAGCACCGGCUAACUACGUG
rnacentral:rRNA from 1 species